ensembl:piRNA 21ur-4547 ncRNA
UUCUUCAUUGGGGGGUCGAAA